GGGCCCGCACAAGCGGUGGAGUAUGUGGUUUAAUUCGAAGAUACGCGCAGAACCUUACCAACACUUGACAUGUUCGUCGCGACUCUAAGAGAUUAGAGUUUUCGGUUCGGCCGGACGAAACACAGGUGCUGCAUGGCUGUCGUCAGCUCGUGUCGUGAGAUGUUGGGUUAAGUCCCGCAACGAGCGCAACCCUCACUUUUAGUUGCCAUCAUUAAGUUGGGCACUCUGAAAGAACUGCCAGUGAUAAGCUGGAGGAAGGUGGGGAUGACGUCAAGUCCUCAUGGCCCUUACGUGUUGGGCUACACACGUGCUACAAUGGUAUCUACAACAGGAAGCAAAACAGCGAUGUUAAGCAAAUCCUUAAAAGAUACCUCAGUUCGGAUUGCACUCUGCAACUCGAGUGCAUG
rnacentral:rRNA from 1 species